rnacentral:tRNA from 1 species
GCCUGGCUGGCUCAGUCGGUGAGCAUGUGACUCUUGAUCUCAGAGUUUUGAGUUCGAGCCCCAUGUUGGGUG